UGGGGGAUAUUGCACAAUGGGCGAAAGCCUGAUGCAGCGACGCCGCGUGGGGGAUGAAGGCUUUCGGGUUGUAAACCUCUUUCGCUAUCGAACACGGCCCGCUUAGGGUGGGUUGAGGGUAGGUGGAGAAGAAGCGCCGGCUAACUACGUGCCAGCAUCCGCGGUAAUACGUAGGGCGCGAGCGUUGUCCGGAAUUAUUGUGCGUAAAGGGCUUGUAGGCGGCUUGUUGCGCCUGCUGUGAAAACGCGGGGCUUAACUUCGCGCGUGCAGUGGGUACGGGCAGGCUUGAGUGUGGUAGGGGUGACUGGAAUUCCAGGUGUAGCGGUGGAAUGCGAAGAUAUCUGGAGGAACACCGAUGGCGAAGGCAGGUCACUGGGCCAUUACUGACGCUGAGGUGCGAAAGCAUGGGUAGCGAACAGG
rnacentral:rRNA from 1 species